UACGGGAGGGGCAAGCGUUGUUCGGAAUUAUUGGGCGUAAAGGGCGCGUAGGUGGUUUUGUAUGUCUAUCGUGAAAGCGCGCGGCUCAACCGCGUUCCGUCGGUAGAAACUGCAGAACUAGAGACUGGGAGGGGCUGGUGGAAUUCCCUGUGUAGCGGUGAAAUGCGUAGAGAUGGGGGAGAACACUCGUGGCGAAGGCGGCCAGCUGGACCAGUUCUGACACUGAGGCGCGAUAGCGUGGGGAGCAAACAGG
rnacentral:rRNA from 1 species